rnacentral:lncRNA from 10 species
CUUACAGUCCUUUAGCCAGACAGAAAGGUUCUCCAAGUCCCCACUCCACCCAGAAGCCCAGCCGGUUUCACGUCUCACCGGGGCUCUGCGGCACCCAGCCCCGGCGCUCAGGCAGCCCAGAGGGAGCUAGUCCCUGAUCAAGUCCCGCAGGCGCCGGCUGGCCGAGCCGAGUGCGGGGCCCACUGAGCCUGCGCCAACCCAGAACCCACGCCUGCCCGCGAACGCGGCGCGCAGUUCGGGCUCCCGCCAGCACCUCUCCCUUCACACCUUCCGGUGAGCAGAGGGAGCUGGCUCCGGCAUCGGCCAGCCCCAGAGAGGGGCCCUCAUAGCGCAGCGGCAGGCUGAAGGGCUCCUGGCGUGUGGCCAGAGCGGAGGCCCAGGAGGCGCGGAAAGCGAGCCAGGGCUGCUAGCACGUUUUCACCUCUCAUCACUACUAUCAUGAUCACUACUAUCAUAUUUAUAUGUAAGAAGUGCCUUUUGCCUCCUGCCAUAAUUCUGAGGCCUCCC